rnacentral:tRNA from 1 species
AGGAAAUCAAAUUAGAGCUUGAUAGUAAGCAUUUCAUUUACACUGAAAAUUUAUCUGUGCAAUUCAGUAUAAUUUG